rnacentral:rRNA from 1 species
UACGUAGGUGGCGAGCGUUGUCCGGAUUUAUUGGGCGUAAAGCGCGCGCAGGCGGUGCGGUAAGUCUGUCGUGAAAUCUCCCGGCUCAACUGGGAGGGUGCGGUGGAGACUGCCGGACUGGAGGCACUCAGAGGCCGGUGGAAUUCCCGGUGUAGUGGUGAAAUGCGUAGAGAUCGGGAGGAACACCAGUGGCGAAGGCGGCUGGCUGGGGGUGACCUGACGCUGAGGCGCGAAAGCGUGGGGAGCGAACCGG